AGGCUCGCGACUCCCCGCCCCCCGGCCCCGGUCACUCGCUUUCGCGGUGGGCGGCUCCCGCUCAGUCCACACCCCUGCCCCGCCCACUCCCCUCCCGAAGGAAACUCCGAGACCCCGAAAGGGGUGACUCAACCGUGAUUCAACAGCGGCCGCCGAGCAGCGAGCUGCCCCUUCGGCGCAGGCGGAUCCAGGUAAAAGGCAAAAUAUGAGAAAAGGCCGGAGGAAUUUCAGAGUUAGUGAGAACGCAGAGUUCUGAGUUGGGAGAAAAAGUGACUCAGCAAAACUGAAGAAACAUCUGGCAGGAGUUCUACCUUCCCUGCCAGCAUGUGAAGAUACAAAGAAAAGGUGGUCAUGAGUAAACCGAAUCAGGAAGACAGACUUUGGUAGACACCAAAUUGAACAGAAUCAUAAUCUUGGACAUAUGAGUCUGCUGGACCACUAGACAGAGAGUUCUGCUGUAAAGCCCCUCACUGUGUAGAACUGAUGUGAUGUCAGAGACAACUACAAAGACACAGGACCGUGUUACGGAGGGUGCUUGUGAUGUCUUGGCUGUGAACGGCUUCUCAGAAUUUUGUAAACUUUAUGGACAGCUGUUCAAGAGAGCACAUGGCGAGUCUUAAGCUCGGACCUUCCCUCCAGCAACUGGCAGCCAGAUCUCCAAGUUCAAGGCUGUCCUGGUCUAUAAAGUAAGUUCCAGGAUAGCCAGGGCUACAUAGAGAAACCCUGUCUCAAAAACACAAACCAACCAACCAAGGAAAGGGGAGGAAAGAAAGUAAAAAAGGAGAGAAAAAGUUAAGUGUUUGUCUUUCCUAUCACUAGGGAAUAAUAAAGAUCCUGGUUUGCAUAACUUAAUAAAUAUUUAUUGAGAGAUUACUAUGUAA